AAGUCGUAACAAGGUUUCCGUAGGUGAACCUGCGGAAGGAUCAUUACAGUAAUUGGGUUGUCGCUCAAAGUAGCACGCCCUCCAUACACACACACACACCUUGUGCACUCUAUCUAUUACAGCCUGUCUCUAAUGCAUGUCUUGAUAAAUUCUACGGAAUAGAAUACAA
rnacentral:misc_RNA from 1 species